rnacentral:lncRNA from 1 species
ACAAAUCAUUAGUAAUUGCCAAUAUAACUUUCAUCAAAUGCAACAUAAAGACAAAUUUAAAUGUCUUCAUUUUUUCAAGUAAGCCUUCUGCAAUACCUUUUAAUUCUUGAUUAGUAGCAUCUUGAUGUAUAUCCCCAAGCACUUCCACUACCGAUGGCCACAUCAAAAAAAGACGAAGUAUUGUUCUAUGAUGUGAACCCCACCGUGUAUCUCCUGGCCGAGUUAAAGAGGUUUCUUGAUUCUUCCCUUUUCCAGAAAAUAGCUCACCACUUUCUAAACGUUUCAAUGUAAGUUCAUGUUGUUUUUAUCGAAGCAUAUCCUUUCUCUUACAAGAAGCACCAACCAAAUUCACAAUACGGCAAAGAUGAUCAAAAAAAUCACUAACUGCAG